rnacentral:tRNA from 1 species
GCCUCCGUGAUGUAGUGUUGAGCAUGCUCGACGCCUAAGCGAGAUAUCUGUGGUUCGAUUCCCGGCAAAGGUG